rnacentral:rRNA from 1 species
GAUGAACGCUAGCGGCAGGCUUAAUACAUGCAAGUCGUGGGGCAGCAUGACUGUAGCAAUACAGUUGAUGGCGACCGGCAAACGGGUGCGGAACACGUACACAACCUUCCUUUUAGUGGAGAAUAGCCCAGGGAAACUUGGAUUAAUACUCCGUAACAUAUAGAAGUGGCAUCACUUUUAUAUUAUAGCAGCAAUGCGCUAGAAGAUGGGUGUGCGGCUGAUUAGAUAGUUGGCGGGGUAAUGGCCCACCAAGUCGACGAUCAGUAACUGGUGUGAGAGCACGACCAGUCACACGGGCACUGAGACACGGGCCCGACUCCUACGGGAGGCAGCAGUAAGGAAUAUUGGUCAAUGGACGCAAGUCUGAACCAGCCAUGCCGCGUGGAGGAUGAAGGUCCUCUGGAUUGUAAACUUCUUUUAUUUGGGAAGAAACCCUCUUUUCUAAGAUGGUUGA